rnacentral:rRNA from 1 species
UACGUAGGUGGCAAGCGUUGUCCGGAAUUAUUGGGCGUAAAGGGCGCGUAGGCGGAUAAUUAAGUCAGAUGUGAAAUAUGCGGGCUUAACCCGGAUCUGCAUCUGAAACUGGCUAUCUUGAGUGCAGGAGAGGACAGUGGAAUUCCUAGUGUAGCGGUGAAAUGCGUAGAUAUUAGGAGGAACACCAGUGGCGAAGGCGGCUGUCUGGACUGUAACUGACGCUGAGGCGCGAAAGCGUGCGGAGCAAACGGGAUUA